rnacentral:rRNA from 1 species
GACGAACGCUGGCGGCGUGCUUAACACAUGCAAGUCGAACGGAAAGGCCCUGCUUUUGUGGGGUGCUCGAGUGGCGAACGGGUGAGUAACACGUGAGUAACCUGCCCUUGACUUUGGGAUAACUUCAGGAAACUGGGGCUAAUACCGGAUAGGAGCUCCUGCUGCAUGGUGGGGGUUGGAAAGUUUCGGCGGUUGGGGAUGGACUCGCGGCUUAUCAGCUUGUUGGUGGGGUAGUGGCUUACCAAGGCUUUGACGGGUAGCCGGCCUGGGAGGGUGACCGGCCCCCAUGGGCCUGAGAUACGGCCCAGACUCCUACGGGAGGCAACAGUGGGGAAUAUUGCACAAUGGGCGGAAGCCUGAUGCAGCAACGCCGCGUGCGGGAUGACGGCCUUCGGGUUGUAAACCGCUUUCGCCUGUGACGAAGCGUGAGUGACGGUAAUGGGUAAAGAAGCACCGGCUAACUACGUG